rnacentral:rRNA from 1 species
CCUACGGGUGGCAGCAGUGGGGAAUAUUGCACAAUGGGGGAAACCCUGAUGCAGCGACGCCGCGUGGGGGAUGAAGGAUUUAGGAUUGUAAACUCCUUUUGUGAGGGAAGAUAAUGACGGUAUCUCACGAAUAAGCCCCGGCUAACUCCGUGCCAGCAGCCGCGGUAAUACGUAGGGUGCAAGCGUUACUCGGAAUCACUGGGCGUAAAGAGUGCGCAGGCGGGCGUGUAAGUCGGAUGUGAAAUCCUGGAGCUUAACUCCAGAACUGCAUUUGAAACUAUGAGUCUAGAGUGUGGGAGAGGUAGGCGGAAUUCUUGGUGUAGGGGUAAAAUGCGUAGAUAUCAAGAGGAAUACUCAUUGCGAAGGCGACCUACUGGAACAUUACUGACGCUCAGGCACGAAAGCGUGGGGAGCAAACAGGAUUAGAUACCCGAGUAGUC